GAUGAACGCUGGCGGCGUGCCUAAUACAUGCAAGUCGAGCGAACAGACGAGGAGCUUGCUCCUCUGACGUUAGCGGCGGACGGGUGAGUAACACGUGGAUAACCUACUUAUAAGACUGGGAUAACUUCGGGAAACCGGAGCUAAUACUGGAUAAUAUAUUGAACCGCAUGGUUCAAUAGUGAAAGACGGUUUUGCUGUCACUUAUAGAUGGUUCCGCGCCGCAUUAGCUAGUUGGUAAGGUAACGGCUUACCAAGGCAACGAUGCGUAGCCGACCUGAGAGGGUGAUCGGCCACACUGGAACUGAGACACGGUCCAGACUCCUACGGGAGGCAGCAGUAGGGAAUCUUCCGCAAUGGGCGAAAGCUUGACGGAGCCACGCCGCGUGAGUGAAGAAGGUCUUCGGAUCGUAAAACUCUGUUAUUAGGGAAGAACAAAUGUGUAAGUAACUAUGCACGUCUUGACGGUACCUAAUGAGAAAGCCACGGCUAACUACGUG
rnacentral:rRNA from 1 species